GUGGGGAAUAUUGGACAAUGGGCGAAAGCCUGAUCCAGCCAUGCCGCGUGUGUGAAGAAGGUCUUCGGAUUGUAAAGCACUUUAAGUUGGGAGGAAGGGCAGUAAGUUAAUACCUUGCUGUUUUGACGUUACCGACAGAAUAAGCACCGGCUAACUUCGUGCCAGCAGCCGCGGUAAUACGAAGGGUGCAAGCGUUAAUCGGAAUUACUGGGCGUAAAGCGCGCGUAGGUGGUUUUGUAAGUUGGAGGUGAAAUCCCCGGGCUCAACCUGGGAACUGCCUCCAAAACUGCAUGACUAGAGUACGGUAGAGAGGAGUGGGAUUUCCUGUGUAGCGGUGAAAUGCGUAGAUAUAGGAAGGAACACCAGUGGCGAAGGCGACCACCGGGACUGAUACUGACACUGAGGUGCGAAAGCGUGGGGAGCAAACAGGAUUAGAUACCCGAGUAGUCC
rnacentral:rRNA from 1 species